rnacentral:rRNA from 1 species
CCUCGAAUCAGGUGGGACUACCCGCUGAACUUAAGCAUAUCAAUAAGCGGAGGAAAAGAAACUAACAAGGAUUCCCCUAGUAACGGCGAGUGAAGCGGGAUGAGCUCAAAUUUAAAAUCUGAUAGUCUUUGGCUGUCCGAGUUGUAAUCUAGAGAAGUGUUUUCCGCGUUGGACCAUGUACAAGUUUCCUGGAACGGAACGUCAUAGAGGGUGAGAAUCCCGUCCUUGACAUGGACUACCGGUGCUUUGUGAUACACUCUCAACGAGUCGAGUUGUUUGGGAUUGCAGCUCAAAAUGGGAGGUAAAUUCCUUCUAAAGCUAAAUAUUGGCGAGAGACCGAUAGCGAACAAGUACCGUGAGGGAAAGAUGAAAAGCACUUUGGAAAGAGAGUUAAACAGUACGUGAAAUUGUUAAAAGGGAAACGAUUGAAGUCAGUCGCGUUUACUUGGACUCAGCCUUACCUCGGUUUGGUGCAUUUCCUUGUGAACGGGCCAGCGUCGAUGUUGUCCGUUGGAAAAGGGUUGGAGAAAUGUGGCUCUUUCGGGAGUGUGUAUAGUCUCUGAUCGUAUACAACGGCUGAUAUUGAGUGGUACAGCAUGCUUCGGCGGUGCUUGUGCUGGCAU